rnacentral:rRNA from 1 species
UACGGAGGGUGCAAGCGUUAUCCGGAUUCACUGGGUUUAAAGGGUGCGUAGGUGGGUUGGUAAGUCCGUGGUGAAAUCUCCAAGCUUAACUUGGAAACUGCCGUGGAUACUAUCAAUCUUGAAUAUUGUGGAGGUAAGCGGAAUAUGUCAUGUAGCGGUGAAAUGCUUAGAUAUGACAUAGAACACCGAUAGCGAAGGCAGCUUGCUACACAAUCAUUGACACUGAGGCACGAAAGCGUGGGGAGCAAACGGG